rnacentral:rRNA from 1 species
AUUGAACGCUGGCGGAAUGCUUAACACAUGCAAGUCGAGCGGGCUGUAGCAAUACAGCUAGCGGCGGACGGGUGAGAAAUACAUAGGAAUCUGCCUCAGAGUGGGGGAUAGGCCCGGGGAAACCCGGAUUAAUACCGCAUGAUGUCGUAAGACCAAAGCAGGGGACCGUAAGGCCUUGCGCUUUGAGAUGAGCCUAUGUCGGAUUAGCUAGUUGGCGGGUAAAGCCCACCAAGGCGACGAUCCGUAGCUGGUCUGAGAGGACGAUCAGCCACACCGGAACUGAGACACGGUCCGGACUCCGUACGGGAGGCAGCAGGUGGGGAAUAUUGGACAAUGGGCGCAAGCCUGAUCCAGCAAUUCCGCGUGUGUGAAGAAGGCCUGGUU